rnacentral:lncRNA from 1 species
UGUCGAAUCAAUCUGCAACAACAUCCUAUAGUCAUCUGCAACCUGCAACUAGAAAAGAACUAAGUCGGAUGUGCUCUCAUUAUCGUUGAGCAGUGUCUUAGUUUCCCAAUCCCAACUCUAAGAAUUUUUUAUGGGGAGGACCUCAUAAGCUCUCGAAUGAGCUGGAGACCAAGUCCGUAUAGGAUAUCCUUUUAUAACAUGCUUUAUCGAUCAAAGGCAGUAUCUGAAUCAGUCAUAAAGACUGGA